GGGCCUAUAGUUUAGUGGUAGAACAGUGCAUUCGCAUUGCACAAACGGGAGUUCGAUUCUCCCUAGGUCCACAA
rnacentral:tRNA from 1 species